GUAUUUCAUAAAAAUAAAUCAACUUUUCCCUUUUAUGGGAGCAAAUAUUUUCAAUUGGGAAAGUGGUGGUUUUUCCCCCUCUACUCUAAUUCUUAGGAUAGUCUUGCAAAAAUGAUACCCAGGAGAGUCUUUUGCACAUUUCUGUCUCUCCACAUACUGUUGAAGUCAUUGUUAGGAUAGUUUUCUUUUUGUUAAGUGCUGGUGUUUAAAUGUUGGUCCAUUUCAGCAGAAAACCAAAGCCAUCAACAUAUAAUUGCAUUAAUAUUAAUUCUCAUUUCAAUGAGAAAGGCACUUUGUAAUCACCUGUUAUUUAACCCUGACAGCAACCUUUCCGGGAAGGAAGAGGACAUACUGACAGAUCCCUGCAUGCUGUAAGAUGAGCCAUUUGUGAUAUCUCUCCAUUCAGGGACAGAGUGGAAUAGAAUGCCAAGCCCCUCCUUCACACAGCAUGGGAAGUCCCAGGGAUGAGGCUUAGUUGAAACAUACUCUAAAACCAAACCAAAACAAAACAAACCAAAAAAACCAAACAACUCCUGCAUGUGGAGGGCAGCAGAGGAGCUGGGCCGGCACAUGACGUGGGCAACAAGGGUUUACAAAGAGCAACCCCCUCAGGGACCCCACUCAGGGAAGCAGGCAGCUCUGGAGGAACUACAGGUGAAGGCGAGCAUGGCAAUUCUGGUAAGCAGGGAGCACAGAUUCCACCAUGUUUUACCUGUGGUUCAAAUGGAUGUGGAUGUGCACUGGAGCAUGGCAUGACAGACGGGUCAAGUGUUAAUGCAAGGGAAACACAGAAGCCGUGGGGUCCUGGAGCUUGGGCAAUCUUAUUAACUGGCUUGGAGAGAGUUUUUAUACUGAGGAUGGGCACUCUUUUUUGUAUCCCAAGGCCAUGAAAUUAUGGAAACCAGGGAGAAGAAGAAUUGAGGUAUCAAAUCUAAUAGGCUCUGUCUAUCCCCAUUUUGUGAACAUGCCCUUCAGACGGACAGGAUGUAGGACUGAUGGAGGCACAGUUCACAGUGUGGUGCCUCUUGGGUUUAGCCAGCCUAUUUCUAUCAGAGGGCUGUGGACUCCCAUAUGAACCUAGCUGACUCUUCCGAACUGUUUUUAUUCACCCUCUAAUACCAGAUGGGUGAGAUUUUCCCCCAGCACUGGCCAAUUCUCCAACAUCAGCUGGGUAGACUGCAAUUCAGUUUAAUCUGGCACUAGCUACCCAGAAUCAGAGCAGAGCCCA
rnacentral:lncRNA from 1 species